UGCCAGCCGCCGCGGUAAUACGGAAGGUGCGAGCGUUAAUCGGAAUUACUGGGCGUAAAGAGUACGUAGGCUGUUAGAUAAGUCGGAUGUGAAAUCCCCGGGCUCAACCUGGGAACUGCAUCCGAAACUAUUUAACUAGAGUAUGGGAGAGGUAAGUAGAAUUUCCGGUGUAGCGGUGAAAUGCGUAGAUAUCGGAAGGAAUACCAGCGGCGAAGGCGGCUUACUGGACCAAUACUGACGCUGAGGUACGAAAGCGUGGGGAGCAAACAGGAUUAGAUA
rnacentral:rRNA from 1 species